rnacentral:rRNA from 1 species
AGUUGAUUCUCUUCGGAGAUGAAGCUAGCGGCGGACGGUUGAGUAACACGUGGGCAACCUGCCUCAUAGAGGGGAAUAGCCUCCCGAAAGGGAGAUUAAUACCGCAUAAGAUUGUAGCUUCGCAUGAAGUAGCAAUUAAAGGAGCAAUCCGCUAUGAGAUGGGCCCGCGGCGCAUUAGCUAGUUGGUGAGGUAACGGCUCACCAAGGCGACGAUGCGUAGCCGACCUGAGAGGGUGAUCGGCCACAUUGGGACUGAGACACGGCCCAGACUCCUACGGGAGGCAGCAGUGGGGAAUAUUGCACAAUGGGGGAAACCCUGAUGCAGCAACGCCGCGUGAGUGAUGACGGCCUUCGGGUUGUAAAGCUCUGUCUUCAGGGACGAUAAUGACGGUACCUGAGGAGGAAGCCACGGCUAACUACGUGCCAGCAGCCGCGGUAAUACGUAGGUGGCGAGCGUUGUCCGGAUUUACUGGGCGUAAAGGGAGCGUAGGCGGACUUUUAAGUGAGAUGUGAAAUACCCGGGCUCAACUUGGGUGCUGCAUUUCAAACUGGAAGUCUAGAGUGCAGGAGAGGAGAAUGGAAUUCCUAGUGUAGCGGUGAAAUGCGUAGAGAUUAGGAAGAACACCAGUGGCGAAGGCGAUUCUCUGGACUGUAACUGACGCUGAGGCUCGAAAGCGUGGGGAGCAAACAGGAU